rnacentral:rRNA from 1 species
GACGAACGCUGGCGGCGUGCCUAAUACAUGCAAGUAGAACGCACAGGAUGCACCGUAGUUUACUACACCGUAUUCUGUGAGUUGCGAACGGGUGAGUAACGCGUAGGUAACCUGCCUGGUAGCGGGGGAUAACUAUUGGAAACGAUAGCUAAUACCGCAUAAGAACAUUUACUGCAUGGUAGAUGUUUAAAAGGUGCAAAUGCAUCACUACCAGAUGGACCUGCGUUGUAUUAGCUAGUUGGUGAGGUAACGGCUCACCAAGGCAACGAUACAUAGCCGACCUGAGAGGGUGAUCGGCCACACUGGGACUGAGACACGGCCCAGACUCCUACGGGAGGCAGCAGUAGGGAAUCUUCGGCAAUGGGGGGAACCCUGACCGAGCAACGCCGCGUGAGUGAAGAAGGUUUUCGGAUCGUAAAGCUCUGUUGUUAAGGAAGAACGUGUGUGAGAGUGAAAGUUCACA